rnacentral:rRNA from 1 species
AGCAGCCGCGGUAAUUCCAGCUCCAAUAGCGUAUAUUAAAGUUGUUGCAGUUAAAAAGCUCGUAGUUGAAUUUCGGGAUUAGUACGUCGGUCGUGCCUUCGGUACGUACUGGUGUUACUGAUUCCUACCUUCUGACGAACCAUCAUGUCAUUAAUUUGGUGUGGCGGGGAAUCAGGACUGUUACUUUGAAAAAAUUAGAGUGUUUAAAGCAGGCUCGCGCUUGAAUACAUUAGCAUGGAAUAAUGAAAUAGGACGUUGACCCUAUUUUGUUGGUUUCUAGGAUUGACGUAAUGAUUAAUAGGGAUAGUUGGGGGCAUUAGUAUCCAAUUGUCAGAGGUGAAAUUCUUGGAUUUAUUGAAGACUAACUACUGCGAAAGCAUUUGCCAAGGAUGUUUUCAUUAAUCAAGAACGAAAGUUAGGGGAUCGAAGACGAUCAGAUACCGUCGUAGUCNNAACCAUAAACUAUGCC